rnacentral:rRNA from 1 species
ACGGGUGAGUAACACGUGAGUAACCUGCCCUUGACUCUGGGAUAAGCCUGGGAAACUGGGUCUAAUACCGGAUACGACCAUCUGGCGCAUGUCAUGGUGGUGGAAAGCUUUUGUGGUUUUGGAUGGACUCGCGGCCUAUCAGCUUGUUGGUGGGGUAAUGGCCUACCAAGGCGACGACGGGUAGCCGGCCUGAGAGGGUGACCGGCCACACUGGGACUGAGACACGGCCCAGACUCCUACGGGAGGCAGCAGUGGGGAAUAUUGCACAAUGGGCGCGAGCCUGGUGCAGCGACGCCGCGUGAGGGAUGACGGCCUUCGGGUUGUAAACCUCUUUCAGUAGGGAAGAAGCGAAAGUGACGGUACCUGCAGAAGAAGCGCCGGCUAACUACGUGCCAGCAGCCGCGGUAAUACGUAGGGCGCAAGCGUUAUCCGGAAUUAUUGGGCGUAAAGAGCUCGUAGGCGGUUUGUCGCGUCUGCUGUGAAAGACCGGGGCUCAACUCCGGUUCUGCAGUGGGUACGGGCAGACUAGAGUGCAGUAGGGGAGACUGGAAUUCCUGGUGUAGCGGUGAAAUGCGCAGA